rnacentral:ribozyme from 16 species
UGCAUGCUGUAAAAAGAUAAAAAAAAAGUCAAAAUUCCUUGACAAAUUUAUAAUAUAGACAUAUGUUUUUCUUUUU